AAAUUGAAGAGUUUGAUCAUGGCUCAGAUUGAACGCUGGCGGCAGGCCUAACACAUGCAAGUCGAACGGUAGCACAGAGAGCUUGCUCUCGGGUGACGAGUGGCGGACGGGUGAGUAAUGUCUGGGAAACUGCCUGAUGGAGGGGGAUAACUACUGGAAACGGUGGCUAAUACCGCAUAACGUCGCAAGACCAAAGAGGGGGACCUUCGGGCCUCUUGCCAUCAGAUGUGCCCAGAUGGGAUUAGCUUGUUGGUGAGGUAACGGCUCACCAAGGCGACGAUCCCUAGCUGGUCUGAGAGGAUGACCAGCCACACUGGAACUGAGACACGGUCCA
rnacentral:rRNA from 2 species